UACGGGGGGAGCAAGCGUUGUUCGGAUUUACUGGGCGUAAAGAGCGCGCAGGCGGCUGGUCAAGUCCGAUGUGAAAUCUCCCGGCUCAACUGGGAAACUGCAUCGGAAACUGAUCGGCUUGAAGAUGGGAGAGGGUAGUGGAAUUCCCGGUGUAGUGGUGAAAUGCGUAGAUAUCGGGAGGAACACCAGUGGCGAAGGCGACUACCUGGCCCGUUCUUGACGCUGAGGCGCGAAAGCUAGGGGAGCGAACGGG
rnacentral:rRNA from 1 species